GUGAGCAGCAUCACAUCCGUGCCGGGCUGCACUGCACUGCAGCACGGGGUGAGGAGCACGGGAUGAGGGGAGCAGAGAUCUGCUGGGCAGGAAGGAUGAGAAGCCAACAAAAUCAGGCUGUGCUGAUGGCAAGGAACCAAACGUCCCUCUGCGCCCUGACCUUCAUUGUGUGGGGAAGGAGGGAGAGCUGCCACUGAGAAAACGUGAUAAGGAUGGCCGGCAGGACCAGCGUGGUUUUGUGCUGUGUGUGCAUGCAGUUGGCUGGGGAUCGCGUGCGGAGAGCUUGGCUGCGCUCAGCAGAGCGGUUCACAGAGUUGGGAACGGACCACCUCCCCAGUGUGUCCAGGCUAAUGGAAACCACAGCUGCCCCACAUGCACAGAGCAGGGAACUGACACCAGGCAGGGGACAUGAUUUCAGCAGGAAAAAGAACAACAUACAGGAGUUAAAAACAUCCCUGCUGCCAUUCCUUCCCUCCCCAUGGGGUACAGGGAGCUAAAACCCAGCUGCUCGGAUAAAGGAGCAUUCCCAAAGCUUCACCAGCAAAUGAAGACAUUGAAACAGAGACCAAGGAGAUGAGGAAUGUGUCAAAGACAGGAGCUCCAUCCCCACCUCUUGCCCCAUUCAACCCCAUGGACACAGCACAAGGAGGUGGAGGAGCUGCCCACCAUACACCUGGUGCAGGUGCUGUGCUGGGAGCAGAGGGAAGCUGCCCCGACAUGGGGUGAUUCAGUUCCAAAUCACGCGGAGCCCACUGCACACCGCCAGAACUCUCGACUUGCUGCUUUGCCCGCGCUUGCACGCUGUGCUGGGGGUGAUAGGGAGCCGGCAUGGAGCCACGGGUGAUCCCUCACCACGAUCCGGAGUGUGGGAAAAAACGCAAUCGCUGCAAACAAUCAGAGGCAAAGCCAGCAGCAGCACGCAGCGAGGAAUUCGGAGGCGCAUUCCAGCAGGGAUGACAGAGAAGGGGCUGGGAGUGCAAGAAAACACAACGUGCUGUGAUUUGCUUUGUUUUGCCUUGUUUUGCUUUCUCCCCCCCCCCAACCUCUUCAGCACCAUCACACCCUGCUCGGCUUUCGAGUAAAGGGUGGCACAGCGGUGGGGACCUGGAGUGCUCUGUGCCUCCGUGUCUCCAGCAGAGCAAUGAAAUACACCUUUUAGACCUACAAAGCCUAUAAAGGGAAGUUCUGGGCAUGGGGACAUGGCCAUGUGGACUGCAGGCAGUACUGCUGGCACAUGGGAACUCGGUGUCACUGCUGGCCAAGGCAGCGUGUCCCCUGCACAAAGCAUGCCACCUUCCCAGCUCUUCCUGACCCACUUUCUACAUGGCACAAUUAAAGCAAAGCAAAACAGA